rnacentral:rRNA from 1 species
AGAGUUUGAUCCUGGCUCAGGAUGAACGCUGGCGGCGUGCCUAAUACAUGCAAGUCGAGCGAACGGACGAGAAGCUUGCUUCUCUGAUGUUAGCGGCGGACGGGUGAGUAACACGUGGAUAACCUACCUAUAAGACUGGGAUAACUUCGGGAAACCGGAGCUAAUACCGGAUAAUAUUUUGAACCGCAUGGUUCAAAAGUGAAAGACGGUCUUGCUGUCACUUAUAGAUGGAUCCGCGCUGCAUUAGCUAGUUGGUAAGGUAACGGCUUACCAAGGCAACGAUGCAUAGCCGACCUGAGAGGGUGAUCGGCCACACUGGAACUGAGACACGGUCCAGACUCCUACGGGAGGCAGCAGUAGGGAAUCUUCCGCAAUGGGCGAAAGCCUGACGGAGCAACGCCGCGUGAGUGAUGAAGGUCUUCGGAUCGUAAAACUCUGUUAUUAGGGAAGAACAUAUGUGUAAGUAACUGUGCACAUCUUGACGGUACCUAAUCAGAAAGCCACGGCUAACUACGUGCCAGCAGCCGCGGUAAUACGUAGGUGGCAAGCGUUAUCCGGAAUUAUUGGGCGUAAAGCGCGCGUAGGCGGUUUUUUAAGUCUGAUGUGAAAGCCCACGGCUCAACCGUGGAGGGUCAUUGGAAACUGGAAAACUUGAGUGCAGAAGAGGAAAGUGGAAUUCCAUGUGUAGCGGUGAAAUGCGCAGAGAUAUGGAGGAACACCAGUGGCGAAGGCGACUUUCUGGUCUGUAACUGACGCUGAUGUGCGAAAGCGUGGGGAUCAAACAGGAUUAGAUACCCUGGUAGUCCACGCCGUAAACGAUGAGUGCUAAGUGUUAGGGGGUUUCCGCCCCUUAGUGCUGCAGCUAACGCAUUAAGCACUCCGCCUGGGGAGUACGACCGCAAGGUUGAAACUCAAAGGAAUUGACGGGGACCCGCACAAGCGGUGGAGCAUGUGGUUUAAUUCGAAGCAACGCGAAGAACCUUACCAAAUCUUGACAUCCUUUGACAACUCUAGAGAUAGAGCUUUCCCCUUCGGGGGACAAAGUGACAGGUGGUGCAUGGUUGUCGUCAGCUCGUGUCGUGAGAUGUUGGGUUAAGUCCCGCAACGAGCGCAACCCUUAAGCUUAGUUGCCAUCAUUAAGUUGGGCACUCUAAGUUGACUGCCGGUGACAAACCGGAGGAAGGUGGGGAUGACGUCAAAUCAUCAUGCCCCUUAUGAUUUGGGCUACACACGUGCUACAAUGGACAAUACAAAGGGCAGCGAAACCGUGAGGUCAAGCAAAUCCCAUAAAGUUGUUCUCAGUUCGGAUUGUAGUCUGCAACUCGACUACAUGAAGCUGGAAUCGCUAGUAAU